rnacentral:rRNA from 1 species
AGAGUUUGAUCCUGGCUCAGAACGAACGUUGGCGGCGUGGAUUAGGCAUGCAAGUCGAACGAGAAAGUACCCUUCGGGGUGCGAGUAAGUGGCGAACGGGUGAGUAUCGCGUGGAGAACCUGCCUGGAAGUGCGGAAUAACCUUUCUAACGGGGGGCUAAUACCGCAUGUGAAAAGAGUGUCGCAUGGCACUUUCUUUAAAGGUGGCCUCUGUUUCAAGCUAUCGCUUCCAGAUGGCUCCGCGUCCUAUUAGCUUGUUGGUGGGGUAACGGCUCACCAAGGCUCCGAUGGGUAGCCGGCCUGAGAGGGUGUCCGGCCACACUGGGACUGAGAUACGGCCCAGACUCCUACGGGAGGCAGCAGUCGAGAGGCAUCGGCAAUGGGGGAAACCCUGACUGUGCGACGCCGCGUGGGGGAUGAAGGCCUUCGGGUUGUAAACUCCUGUCAGUUGGGAAGAACGGCUGGCCGGUUAAUAUCCGGCCAGUUUGACGGUACCAGCAGAGGAAGCUCCGGCUAACUCCGUGCCAGCAGCCGCGGUAAUACGGAGGAUGCAAGCGUUAUCCGGAUUCAUUGGGUUUAAAGGGUGCGUAGGCGGGGCAAUCAGUCAGUGGUGAAAUCCUGCGGCUUAACCGUAGAACUGCCAUUGAUACUGUUGCUCUUGAGUAUAGUUGAAGUGGGCGGAAUAUGUAAUGUAGCGGUGAAAUGCAUAGAGAUUACAUAGAACACCAAUUGCGAAGGCAGCUCACUAAGCUAUCACUGACGCUGAGGCACGAAAGCGUGGGGAGCGAACAGGAUUAGAUACCCUGGUAGUCCACGCCGUAAACGAUGAUAACUCGUUGUUGGCAAUACAUCGUCAGCGACUGAGCGAAAGCAUUAAGUUAUCCACCUGGGGAGUACGAUCGCAAGAUUGAAACUCAAAGGAAUUGACGGGGGCCCGCACAAGCGGAGGAACAUGUGGUUUAAUUCGAUGAUACGCGAGGAACCUUACCUGGGCUUAAAUGCAAAACGACGUACCGGGAAACUGGUACUCCCUUCGGGGCGGAUUGCAAGGUGCUGCAUGGCUGUCGUCAGCUCGUGCCGUGAGGUGUCGGGUUAAGUCCCAUAACGAGCGCAACCCCUAUCGUUAGUUGCCAGCGGAUAAUGCCGGGGACUCUAACGAAACUGCCAGUGUAAACUGUGAGGAAGGUGGGGAUGACGUCAAGUCAGCACGGCCCUUAUGUCCAGGGCUACACACGUGUUACAAUGGUCGGUACAGAGGGCAGCCACCUGGUGACAGGAUGCAAAUCUCGGAAACCGGUCUCUGUUCGGAUCGAAGUCUGCAACUCGACUUCGUGAAGGUGGAUUCGCUAGUAAUCGCGCAUCAGCCACGGCGCGGUGAAUACGUUCCCGGGCCUUGUACACACAAAG